rnacentral:rRNA from 2 species
AGAAUUAACGCUGGUGGCAUGCCUAAUACAUGCAAGUCGAGCGAAUUGUCGAAAGACAAUUAGCGGCGAACGGGUGAGUAAUACAUAUUUAACAUGCCCCCCGGAAGGAAAUAGCCGUUCGAAAGAACGAUUAAUGUCCUAUAGUAUCCCCUUUCAGACAGAAAGGAGAUUUAAAGGUGCAAACCGCCGAGGGAUUGGAAUAUGUCCUAUUAGCUAGUUGGCGGGAUAAAAGCCCACCAAGGCAAUGAUAGGUAGCUGGUCUAAGAGGAUGAACAGCCACAAUGGGAUUGAGAUACGGCCCAUAUUCCUACGGGAAGCAGCAGUAGGGAAUCUUCCACAAUGGACGAAAGUCUGAUGGAGCAAUGCCAUGUGAACGACGAAGGCCAGACAGGUCGUAAAGUUCUUUUAGAGGGGAAAAAUCUGAUGGUACCCUCUGAAUAAGUGACAGCAAACUAUGUGCCAGCAGCUGCGGUAAUACAUAGGUCGCGAGCGUUAUUCGGAUUUAUUGGGCGUAAAGCAAGCGCAGGCGGAUGAAUAAGUUCUGCAUUAAAAGCAGCUGCUUAACAGUUGUUUGUGCCGAAUACUAUUCAUCUAGAAUGUGGUAGAAAGUUUUGGAAUUAAAUAUGGAGCGGUGGAAUGUGUGGAUAUAUUUAAGAACACCAGAGGCGAAGGCGAAAACUUAGGCCAUUAUUGACGCUUAGGCUUGAAAGUGUGGGUAGCAAAUGGGAUUAGAUACCCCAGUAGUCCACACCGUAAACGAUGGGUAUUAGAUGUCGGGACUUGAGUUUCGGCGUUGUAGCUUACGUGUUAAAUACCCCGCCUGGGUAGUACAUAUGCAAAUAUGAAACUCAAAGGAAUUGACGGGGACCUGAACAAGUGGUGGAACAUGUUGCUUAAUUCGAUAAUACACGAAAAACCUUACCAAGGUUUGACAUCCUCUGCAAAGCUAUAGAAAUAUAGUGGAGGUUAUCAGAGUGACAGGUGGUGCAUGGUUGUCGUCAGCUCGUGUCAUGAGAUGUUUGGUUAAGUCCCGCAACGAGCGCAACCCUACUCUUUAGUUACUUGUCUAAAGAGACUGAACAGUAAUGUAUAGGAAGGAUGGGAUCACGUCAAAUCAUCAUGCCCCUUAUGCCUUGGGCCGCAAACGUGUUACAAUGGCGAGUACAAUGUGUUGCAAACCAGCGAUGGUAAGCCAAUCACCAAAACUCGUCUCAGUCCGGAUAAAAGGCUGCAAUUCGCCUUUUUGAAGUUGGAAUCACUAGUAAUCCCGUGUCAGCUAUAUCGGGGUGAAUACGUUCCCAGGUCUUGUACACACCGCCCGUCAAACUAUGAGAGGAAGGAGCAUUUAAAAACAUAUUAAAUUGUGUCAAGAAUGAAACUUCUGAUUGGAGUUAAGUCGUAACAAGGUAGCG